rnacentral:lncRNA from 1 species
CCGGCCCCAACUAUUUAGUUACUAAUUAAUUGGCUGUCUAGCUAGCUAGCAAUUGAUGAAAAUUAAUCCGAUGGGUGUUCCGUUAUGUGUGUGUGUUGAUUAUAAGCAGGGCUAUCGUAACAACAGUUGGUGGAUUUGCAAGGCCUCAGAUAGAUCUCAGCCGUCACAAUUUCGCCAAUAUAUUUGACCAAGCAGUUGGUUACAAACUCACUCCUCCAUUCGACCCUUAUUCCAACACUGUCAAUUAUCUCUUAGCAAGCUAUGUCAUCCCUUAUGUGGGACUCGUCGGUUAUGUUGGCACCAUUCCCAACCUUGUCAACUGCACUUCUCGUAGUGUAAGAAACCUCGAUCCAGUCCAUCUUAAUUAAUUCAUUAAUUUCUAGCAAUUGUUUUGCGGCCGUUGAAGAAGUACUUUUUUUUUUUUUUGAGAGGGGGGGGAGGCAAUUCCACUCACUUCACUUGUGUUAUCUAUUAGUGCAUUAAUUCUUUUGCUGUCCAUUUAAUUAAUUUGCAGUUAGUUGCAGGGCUCUUAGGAGUGGAGUCUGGACAAGAUGCAGUAAUACGGACGUUACUAUACGAGAGGGCUGACCAGAUUGUGGUUCCUUAUAAGAUGACAGUAGCUGAAUUCACUGACCGUAUCUCCGCCCUUAGGAACCGGCUUGGCAUGCGCGGAAACAAAGAUGAGGGCCUAAGGGUGCCACGGAGACUUGGCGCUGAGAACAGGACAGAUAGUAACAUUCUAUCAGCCAAUGCUAAUUCCCUAUCCUACUCUCGAACUCCACCGGAGAUUUUAAGGAUUGUGUACGGAACUGGCAGUGAAAAUAAGCCAGGAGGAUUUUUUCCCAAUGGUGGCAACGGGGCAGUUGCCAAGAGGUUUCUUGCUGCACUUUAAUCAUUGCUCAUUAGUAUGAACUUUCAGUUACGUUUACGUACAAGUUUAACGGCUGUCUACUGUGAAUCACAGUCUGUGAUUGAUUCACAGGGAUUAAUUAGAAUAAAUGGAAGCCCAAACAUAUGACCUAGUUUACGAUUGGCAAAGUUGUAUAAGAACCACGAAUAAUUUGAGCUUUUUAUUUAUAAUAUAAGCUAGUAUAUGUGUUAGCAAUAUUCUUCUUCUUCUUCUUCUGAUUUGGUGAUGGCAUUUAGGGAGCCUUGUGUUUAAUGAAGUUUUCUCUGUUUAACAACUAGAUAUGAUCAUGAUCAUUGUGAAUUUCUAAAAGAAUAACUUUUUGUAUAAAAAGUCACAUAUAUUAUUAUAAAUGUUAUCAACAUGCAGACAUUUAUAGCUAGGUAUUUUGAUUAAUGCAUCUAAUUAUUUUAUUUUAUUCUGCACAGAAAGAAGUAAGAAAACAUCAGCAAUUAAGAAAUUUGUAUUUAAACUUGCUAGUUUUGGCGCAUGUAGUUUUAGAUACGUAUAGCUUCGGCUGAACCAAAUUAAGAUAAUUCGAGCAUCAUUGAUUUCAAUUGAUUUCAUCAUUGAUAACUCGAAUUCGUAUCAAUUGAGACUAUCCUCAUUGUAUUUUGUACUUGUCACAUCCAAAAUCCGUCACGACAUCAAAUCUCAAUCCCAAUUGGCUUGAUAAUUAGCGAUAACCUAUACGUGGCUUAAUUUCGUCUCCUGAAUUAAUUUGACGUAUCUUAAUUAACUUUCUUUUCUAUCUGGGUUGUAAAUUGUAACAUGUCAUCAUUAAUUUGUUUGAGAAUUGGUUAUUUGGGAAGUUAACGCAAUCCUUAACGAAAGGUACACGAAAUAUAGAAUUAGCCACACCGGAUGAGACGUACGCUUCUAGAUUUGUGCUGAUAUAUAUCAAUUCAAAUUAAAAAAAUUUAUAUUUUAUAUUUCGAAUGGGAAGAUAAAUAUCAGUACACGAAAGUAAUCAUCGAUCGGGCACGGUAAAUAGUGAGUUCGAGUAGAUCAGUUGCACCCAACUUAACCGAAAGCAUUCACUGGCAGAUGAGCUUCUCUUCAGAUUCUUCGAACAGCUGCGCUAACCAACGUACUGCCAGAAAGCCCACUUCCUCUAUUGUAUUAUUUGCAUGUCUUUGAAAGUUAUAAAUAAAUCAGAUGCACAAGUUCAGGAUAAUAUAUAAAUUUGACCUAGUAUUUGAAGAAAAUAAUCCCAUAGGACAUUACGAGGUGCCGAAUACAUUUUCAGGUUGAAUUAUCAAUAUACACAUAGAAUUUCAUUUUAUAUUACUAUGAGUAUUGUUAUUUUUGUUGUAAUUGUUUUUCAUAUAAAGUGGGCCUUGAAGCCCUUUGAAAUGAGUAAGCGUAGAAAAGCCAUGCAUAGCUUAUGAUAGACGAAUAAGAGGGAGUGAUUAAUAAUUCUUAUUUAAUUAAUAACUACUAAUUACAUAUUUAAUAGAUAGUUAAUUAAUUUAUUUUGAAGAAGCUUAGAUUAGGGAGAGUAUCUCGGUGCACAUAUGCAUACUAUGAAUCAUUGUCUCCUCCCUCUUUUAUAAAUUAGGAAAAAUGAGGAUUACCCUUUUUAUUUGAAGAAAUUGAGCGAACCCCCACCCUCAUAUUUUAAAAUAGGUUCAAACCCCUUUGUAGUUAUAACGGUGUUAACUUUGUAUAUUAUUUUAUUAUUUUACCCAUAGUCUUCAUGCUAGCCAUAAAAUUUAAAUGUUUUAAAAAUUGUAAAUCAAGCAAAAUGAGGUAUACCCUUAAUGAUUUUGAAUUAAUUUAAUAAUUAGUUAUAAAUUAUAGAGAAAAAUUAACUGACAUAACAUCAUCAAGUAUCAAGUUAAUAGCCAAUGCAGCAAGGAAGUCAUAAUUUUCUGGAACCAUUUAAUAAUCUUUGUAAUGUUCAAACAUAUAUAUUGUCAGGGACACAUAUGACCAAAUAUUAUUGCGAUUUUAUAGAUAUGCAUAUUAUAUUUGCCUCCCCUUUAUAUAGUACUACUAUUUAAGAAGGAGCUCUGGUAUUCACAUAUACCAAAAGUUACCGGAAAUUUAAAUGAAUAUUUUAUACAACUAGAAGUAUUUAUAAUAUUUCCUCUAGCUACUUGUUAUUUUUCUCCAUAAUUUAUAAUUAAUUUCAAAAGAUUUAAAUUUUAUGACUAACAUAUUAGAAGUUAAAAAAUAAAAUAAUAUAUAAAGUUAACAUUGUUCUCUAACUACAGAGGUUUCGACCUAUUUUAAAUCAUGAGGAAAAUCUGACUUAUUUUCUUCAAACAACAUGAUAAUCCUCAUUUUUCCUUAUAAAUUGUGUAUAAAAUAGAAGUUACGCGGAAAGGACUCUACUCAUGUACUAGUUAGUUGUGAAUUCGUUGGGUUUAGUAUACCAACACCUUGAUAUUCUGAAGUAGGUGGAUGUCUGUUUAAAGGGCUCUAAAUCAGUCUAAGUAAAACAUUCUAGUACUAAUUAAUGUGUUUGAUUGGUCAGCUUAUAUAUUUCCAUGUAAAACUGAAACUUGUAUAAAUUAAAGCAAAAUUUAAUUAGACAAGGAUUAGAUCUGCCGUACGUACUACAUAUGUAAAUAUAUCAUCUUCACACAGUUCCUUGCAUAUGAUCAGUCGGCGACAUCAACAAGUUUUACUAAAUCUUAAGAAGCCAUAAUUAAGUAGUUAUCUUAUAUCUAGCAAACACGUAAGAGCAAUUAAUAAGUUAAUUUUCUCGUCAUCUCUCUGCGGAUGGACUCGUCAUUCAUGCAUGAUGCAUCCAUAUAAAAGGCUUUCUGGGGUUUGCUCGUGCAUGUUUCGUACGUACACAGCUAUCUACUAGAAAUUAAGAAGAACAAAUGGAUGUGGAUAGCCCAUUUUUUUCUCUUUGCCUUACUUCUUCUCGCGCUGAAUUUUCACCUAAUAAUUGGUUCUGACUUACUGCGGAACAAUUAUUGAAGCCGAUGAUGGGGAUCGUAUUCAAUUUGCUCUGAACUUGGAAUUUUUAGAAGCAGAAUUAUUUUUUCUUGUAUGGUGCACUUGGCGAAGGACUUGACUGUAUAGCUUCAUGGUCGGCGGAAGGCGGUCCUCCUACCACUGGGGCUAGGAAGGCCAGCCUUGACGACCUCACAAAUCGUAUCAUCGAGAAAUUUGGUUAUCAGGAAGGUGGUCAUCUCAGGAAGCCCUUUAAUAUAUACGAAACAAAAUAUACUGCUAUAUAUAGCUACGCCUUUGUUAUUGCAAUGAUUUAUCCAAGUUAUACAACGGGUUCCAGGGCUACCGUGGCAACAAUUGGUGGGUUCCCAAGGCCACUGCUGAAUAUCAGCACUCAAAAUUUCGCCACGACAUUUAAUGAAGCAGUUGGUUACGAAUUGGAACCUCCGUUUGACCCGUAUAUUUAUAGGAAUUAAUCAUGGCAUUCUAAGUUUUUUUAACGCAGAUAUGCUCUUAAACAGUGUAACCACACAGUUUAAGAGCGUGUCCCCAUUAAAAAAAAAAUGAGGAUACCCACACUAGAGAAGGACUAUAUACACACAUACAUUGAUUUUCUUAAUAUAUACUUGCAGUUAGUUGCAGAGCUCUUAGGAGUUGAGUCAGGAGAAGACGCAGUGUUACCAACGUUACUAUAUGAGAGAACUUAUGAGAAUGUGUUACCUUAUAAUAUAACAGUGGUUGAGUUCACUAUUUAUGUCUCUGAUCUUAGGAACCAGGUUGCCAUGUUUGGCAUCAAAGACAAAGGCCUAAUAGUGCCACCACAACUCGGCGCGGAGAACAGAACAGAAAGUAACACCCUGUCGGCAGAUGCCAAAUUCCUUGUCGUAUACGCGAACCCCGCCGGAGAUUUUAAGGAUUGUUUAUGGAACUGGCAGUUAACGCGAGGCCGGUGGAUUUUUCCCGUAUGGUGGCAAUGGGAGGAAUGCAAGAGAGCUUUCAGGAUCUCAACCUUUAAUGGUUAAUUUAAAUUCCACUGUGUGAUUCAAAAUUAAGCUUAGAAAAAAAUCUGAAGCUCAGAAUAAUUUGAGCCUUAAUAGUUUUGCUUGUCAACUCUUGCUAUCACCCAUGAUGGAACUAGCAACAGCGGCAGCCGCUGUGUUGCGAGAGUCGAACCACCAGCAGUAGCAGCCGUCGCGGAAGUUGAACUAACACGAGCAGCCAUCACGGAAUCCACUAGUUCUGAUCUGAUGAUGAUGAUGAUAUCAACAAUGAUGAUGAUUUGUUGUUGCCAUUGUUGUUGUUGAUGAUGAUGAUGAUUUUGGUGGUGGUGAUUAUAUUAAUAUUAAUAUUAAGGAUAGUAAUAAUAAUAAUAAUAAUAAUAAUAAUAAUAAUAAUAAUAAUAAUAAUAAUAAUAAUAAUAAUAAUAAUAAUAAUAAUAAUGAUAAUAGUUAAUUGAGAACUUUUUAGUAAUUUAGAACAAUUUAAUUCAUUUUUGUUUCGAUUCUAAAAUAAAGUAAUCACAUCAAUAACAAUACAACUUAUUCUGAUUUCGAUUGCUACAAUUAAAAUAAAUAAUUUAUUUUGAUUCACAUUCCUCAUUCGAUUUUAAUCUAUUUUGAUUACAGAUUAUUAAAUGCACCCUAAAUCCUAAGCCUAGAAAGAAUGUCUUAUGAUUUGUGUGCUUUUUUUUUUAAAUUAUUUUGGGCUUUGCUUUUUUGAUUGGGGGAGUAAAUUGCCGAAAUUUUGCCGAGAUAAUGAAGCAUUUUCGUGUUUUUUAUUUAAAAAAAAAGUUAAAAAUACAAAAGAAAAAUAAAAAUAAAACAUAAUGAACUGCAAUUCCAUGCAAUAUUUUAGUUUUGAUUAAUAGUUAAUUUUUCUUCUAUUUAUUUUUCUAUUUAAACAAGAUUGCUCUUAAUUUUAUCUUUUCCCUUGGCAUGACAAUAAUUAAAUAAUUAUUUAUAAUUUGAUUCUCUUUCAUCAUUUACCUGGAUUCUUUAAUUGUAUUAAAGAGCACAUUUUAAUGAUUCCGUAAGAGACUCAAACAGUCCAAACAUAGACUAGCUAAUAAAGCUCACGAGUCACAAUUCCCAUAUUCCGGUCCCAAUAAAAAAAAAAGUGAUUAUUUAUACCCUAAAAAUUAUUUUAAAUACUAUAUUUUCUGUACAUUCAUAUAUUUAUUUUAAAAAAUUAAGUUUUACAUUGCACACUCUUUAAAAUUAAAAAAAAAUUACUUAAAUUAUCUAAAUUAAUUGAUUUGAUUUACUUAAGACUCCAACAAAAUUAAAAUUAAUUAUCUAAAUUAAUUUACUAACUACUAUCAAAAAAUAAAAGGAGAAGAAGACGAAGAAGAAGAACAAGAAGAAGUAAAAAAAAAUUUACAAUACUUUUAUUUUAUUUUAUUUUUGAAAAAAUAAAAAGCAUCACACAUACUUUACAAUCAAAAUAUUAAUUUCCUGAUUUUUCGUCUAAAUAUUGAUUAAGAUGUUGAAAAUAAAAAUUUUAAGGUUCAAGACACAAAAAUUAUAAAUUGUAUACACACACACACACAUAUUAUGGGUGUUCAAAACAAUUAUGUAAUAGUGACUUAUAAUAAAUUGUCCUUGCUAGUAAUUCGCAUAAUGAGUAUUUUGUAAUAAAAUUUAUAUUAAAAUUAGAACGUUCAUAGUAAUUUUUAGAGUCAAAUAGCCCUACCCUAAAAAAGGAAAAAGAACGAAACUCUCCUAUUGUUUGACUAAACUAAUUGAAAACCCCUCUGAUAUUUUAAAACACAUCCAAUACCGGCCCCUAUGUAUCAAUUUUUAUGUUGAUCUUAUCAUUUUACAGUUUUACUCUUGGUGAUUGUUUGGCAUUGGGAACAUGGUAACUUUAAUUAUUUAAUUAAUUAAAUAAUUUUUUAGGUCAUAAUUAAUUAAAAAUUAAAUGGAAAAUAAAUAUACAUAUACUAUUUUCGGAGAAUAAAAAGUUGAGGAUAUUUAAAAUAAUAAAAAUAAUGUAUAUAAAUAUAUUGUUUCAACUUGUUUUACUCUCCAAAAAAAUAUUGUGUUGUGUGUAUGUAAAUUAUUUUCAGAUGUGGAUGUCCGCAUCUUUUAGUUUUUAGUAAAUUUAAAAAAAAAUCAGAAUUAAUAAAAAAUUAUGACAAUGCCCUUGCUUUUUGCCAUAAUUUUAAACUUAAUUUUUCAAUUAAUUAUGAUUAAAAUUAUUUAAGUAAUUAAAUACUUAAAGAUAUAUUCUCAAUGUCAGAUAAACAAAGGAUAAAAUAAUAAGAUAAAAAAGAUGGUCAAAUAAAUUUUGAUGUAUUUUAAAGCAUAGAAAAGAUUUUGAUUAUUAUAAUCAAACGACAUUAGGGAUUUCCUUCUUUUAGCCGGAAAAAAAAAACGAUUAGUAGGAUGAUUACUCAGUUUAAAAUCGCUGCAAAGCAUGUUUUACUAACCCAAUUAUUAUAGGUGCGUUUGGGAUUGAGAUGCUGUAGCUUUUAAGCUAUAGCUGCUGUGAAAAAAAAGCUGUAAUUAUGAAAUAAAAGUUAAUAAUAUAUAAUAAAUAUAAAUUUUAAAUAAUAAUUUUAUCAAAAUUAUUAAAGAUAUAAUAAAUUUUAUAUUAUACAAGUGAAAAAUUAUAUCAACAUAGCUUAAAAGGUACAGCAGUUAGUGUUUACCAAACACUUUAGUGCUGUAGCUUUUAAGCUACAGCUGCCCAACCUCAAUCCCAAACGCACCCUAUAUAUCUGACUUUCUGAGUCUAAGAAAAGCAAAAGAUAGGAUUCCACCACAUUUAUGUUGAUGAUAUGUCAUGCAUAUUUGUAAUAAUUAUGUUUCUUUUUGAAAUUAUAAGAUAUAAUUUCGUCUGCAAAAUCCUCUAAAGCAUUUUAAAAGUUACUCCAAUGAUUUCUUAUGACUAAUUAAGCUUCCUAUGAAAAUGUUUGGAAGUGCCCCCAUGUCUUUUGGAGCAUAUGUAUCUUAUCCGCAUAUUGUAGCCAUUAGCGAGUAUUGAACACAAUCUCAUUCCAGAUUCCACCACACAAAACCAAAGGAUUACUCGCACCAAGCAUUAGAUCAUAGAAAAAUUCUCCUCUGUGGCUGAUCAUGAGGACACCAUAGCUAGCUUGACGGAUAUAGUCAUCUUGGUUAUAUUUGCGACCAAGCUCGAUUCUUUCUUAACUCAUCAAUCAUACUUCUGUUGAAAGUUUCAAGUAAAAAACAAAAUGCAUGCGCAUGUUGGGCACGCUUAAACAUUUUGUCCAGCAAACCCACUUUAUGGUUAUAAUGGUUCGUUGUAUGCUGCACAAAAUUUCAAACGGGUCGGCGCCGUGGGCCACUUUUCAAAUUUGUCCUCAUGAGUGGCGAUCGAGUGCCGUGGUCACUUGACUGCACUGCGUACGACUAGUAAUUAAUUGACGACAUUAACUUCUGGAAAUUGCACCAACAAAGUGUUGGCUCCACUAGCAAUGGAGUCCACUUAAGUGGCUUGACUGAGUUUGCUCCCCAGUUCGAGUCGUAGGAAAGUCGCAUUUAUUAGGAGAACUUGUGCCUCUCGGUUCGAGCAGGGACUUCUAGUCUGGGUUGUGGUACGGACUUAAAGGUACCUCCCACAGUUGGGGUCCUCCCCAAGAUACCUCAUGGUCAAAACCAAAAAAAAAAACUUCCGGAAAUUGUAAAGGUAUGUACUUAACUCAUAUUUGACAAUAAUGAAGGAAAGAUGUUAACCUAAAGGGAGUGUAUUUGUAUAUAUGUUACAGAUUCUGUAACAUACAUAACCUAAACGGAUGGUUUCUCUCUCUCCUCAUGACACAUGUGCACUUCUCCUUGGGUGUGUACACACCUUUAAAAGACAACUAUUGAUUGAUUGUCAAUUAAUUCAAAGAGUGAUUGUCAAUCAGUAUUAACAUUGAUCUUUAUAGAUUAAUUAAAUUCUCAAUUUUCUUAAUUAUAACAUUUUUUUCAUAUGGUGGAGAUUGCCAGUUUUCCUCUACCGAAAUCAAUAUAUACCACUUACAUACCUGCUAAUUGUUCUUAUAAUGAUUAAUAACCUCCCUAACACCAUAAUUUUAUAUUAUUAUCUUUAUUUUUAAAUACAUUUUUAUUCAUAUUUAUUAUUAAUCAAAUAAAUCAUAUAAACAAAAAUUUAAAUAUUAAAAAUAAGAAAUAUAUAUAGAUUUCGGUGCAAAUAAAAAAAUUAAUAGUAAGAUAUUUUCUUAAAUGUUUUGUUUUUUUCACUUUUUUUUUUCUUAUAAUGAUUAAUGAAUAUAUAUUUUAUAUUUUCAAGAUAAAAUAUCAAACAAAUAACCCAUUUAUCCCUUGUUUUCUCUUAAAUUUUUUAUACCAAUGAAUUAUUGACUAUUAAUUAUAAAAACAAUAAGGGAAUAAGUAGUAUAUAUUAAUUUCAGUAGGGAGAAAGUGAGAAUCUCCCUUUAAGACUUGGUAUAAUGAUUACAAAAAGUGCAUGUUUUCUAAAAUGUUUGAGGAUAAUGUAGAGAUUAGAGGAAAUUAAUUAACGUAAUUAUGUUGUUUUAAUAUAUCAUCCUGCAAGUGGGUUUGGAUGCUUUUCCAUCAGGGUAAUAAACGUAAUUACUUGCGUAAGCUGGCCGGACAUAAGUUGACUUUUUAGAAUAAUUGGUCGAAACUUCAGAUGGCAAUUCAUUUAAUCACUCUUCUGAAUUUAGAUAACGAGCUAGUUUUUGUUUUAGAAAAGGAAAAAAAAAAAUCAUGAGCUAGCUGAUUAACGCUAUUAUGGAAUCUCAUCGGUUUUUUUUUUUUCUUUUUAAAAAAAUAUUUGGAAAAUAUCAUUCACUUGAUAUAGAUGUUCUUUUUCACAACGGAAAGGAGUACCGCACUCCUGAUUAAUGUAUUUGUAUAUAUAUUAUCCCACCGAAUGAAAUAAAAUCUAAUAUGAUCAACUAUACGUGUUGAACAGUUAAAAAUUUUAUGUCACGUAUUUAAUUAUGAGAAUAUAUUUUCAUGACGGCUUGAAUAUAUAUAAUACUUUUUUUAUCUAAUUAUGCAUUCAUGCAAUUGUUCAAAUCUUCAAAAAGAAAUUUACAUACUUAUUAAAGUUCAGAGGGAGACAUCGAAUACAAAAGUCUGCCCCUCUAUCUUGCAGACAUGUAGCCAGCGCAAAAGAAGAAGAAGUAGUACUAGGGAGAUUUGAUAAUCCUGAAAACGGAAAAUCAGAUUCCAUUCUAAAUUAACAUUAAGGGAUCCAUUUGGGAUCCCUAGGGCUAAAGAAUGAAUCCUUGACAUGAGAAUCAAGCAACAUAAGCGCAGCAUUAUUCGACUUGAUGCAGCGUGGAGUCUUAUACUGAUUGAUGGAUCCGCCUUGGCUAACAAGCAAAUCCAUCAGCGUCUCAAAGGUGCCAGGUUCGACAACACGUAUCUCGAGCGGUCCAACGGAUUUAUCAUGCGAACGGCAGCGCCUGUACACAUAAUCAAGUUGUUCUUCGACAGCAAUGCAACACUCUUCAAGUACCUUCUGAUGAUCAAGUGGGAGUGCUGGCGAGUCCACUAUUUGAAUCUCCCAGUAUAAUACAUAGUGGCCGGGCACAGUCGAUGUAUCAGCAUAGCUUGUGUAUUCUACAAGUAGCGCACUGUAAGGUUCUAAUAACUUUUUAGCAAUAGUCACGCUUUUGUGCAAAUCUUCUUCGUUGGUUUUGUCAUUGUCUAUGCUCAAAACAACAUUUCUCCUGCAUAUGAAUCGAAAUUGUGGCGCCCGAUUGUAGAAUCCAGUCACUUGGAGUACAUCGCCAAUUCGAUAUCGAUUCAGCCCUAAACAACACAACAUAUAUCUCAGCAAUAAAAUCCGAAUAAUUAAGAAGAUAAAUUUAUCAAAACUCUCCCUAUUAUUAUUGUUGAAAUUAAUCUCCUGCCAUUAAAAAAAAAAUUAUGAUAUUUUUUGUGCUUUUACUGUUUUACUGUUGAAAAAAUUUACAAAUUUUAUUACUUAAGAGGUAAGAUAAUUUAAAAUGUACAAAAAAAAAUGAAAAUUAAUAUCUUUUUUUAACAUGAACGAGAGCUUUGAAACAUGAUGAGAAAAUGAAUAAUUUACUAAAACAAUAUGUUUUUUUUUCCAUCAUUUUUCUUAGUUAAGAAUAUCUAAAGAGGGAAAUUAUAAUCUUACCGGCAAAAGUGGUGACAACCAAUUCAUAGUAAUGGCCGUCUCUAACAUGCCCCAAAUCAACAAGCUUAUCGUUUGGCACCUCCUCUUCUUCAUCAAAUUCCAUUGAAAGCAGCGUGCCAUUCUCACCUCCCAAAGGCAAAAAUUCAAAAUAACACAUGUUAGGCAAGAGGGUAAACGAGACGUCAGCAGGAUUACUCAAGGGUUUCAAAUUUACACCGAAGUAACACUCAGAUGAAGCAUACAUGGUGCCCACCAAGGGCAACUUCCCUGCACUAUAAUACUCCAGGGAUGGUAUAUAUUGUGCCAUAGAGCCAGUGACUACAGCCUCAAUGUACUUAGCCCUAGGCCAAAGUUGACACAAGAUUCCUUUCCAUGAUGGACGGCUACAAAUUUCCUCAAUCUCGUCGGCGAGAGUGGGGUUUGGCGAUGUUAGUAGGGACAACGUCGAGGAACGGCAUCCGGGGUCAGUGAUCGUAAGAUCAAGCCGACCUGAGCGGAUAUCAUUGCAUAACUGAAACCAAUUACGCUCGAGAAAAGAUAUAGCUCGAAGAAGAGCUGAUGCAAACACGGCACCUAGCCGCAGGACUUGGUGACGAUGGAUUAGACCAGCUAGCAACUGGCAGUACAUGCUUUGGUUGCUGUCAUUGCACAAGAUGGCUGGGUCUGGGCUAGUGAAGUCGUUAUACGGGUCGCGUGUUCGGCACUUGAAAUGCUUGCUUUUGUAGUAGCUGGUGAGCACAGUACGAGUGGGCAAGCCACUGGGUGUGGACAUUUCAGCCUUGACAAAGUAAAAGUACAUAGCCUUGCCUUCAUCUAAUCCGCAAAUGUACCUGUAAGUGAAAUUCAAUCCAUGAACGUGCACGUGUCUGAUAUAAAGUUAGUUUAGUGUUUGAGAAUCACAACCAAAGAUUGAGAAUGGAUAAUGUAUAUUGCCAUAUUAAUGGUUAUGAAAUUAAUGAACGAUCGAAUAUUUUAUAUUCAUGAUAAAUGCAAAUUCUAAUCAUGCGUUACACGUCACUUGCACAGCAUUCUAUACAGUACGCCUAGACCUGAUUAACUAGAAUGUGUUCACCUCCUAUGAAAAUGGAAAUAAAAAGAAGAAAUAAGGGAAACAUAGGAAAUUAGGAUAUAUAAUAUAACUGGUUCAUGAUUGGCAUGAUGAGAUUAUAGAGGAAGGUUCGACGGUCAAGAUCUUCUGCUAUCGAUGGCAUCAGCUUUGGCUCUCCUGCAGAAGUCCCCGAACUGCAAACACCGAAACACAACUAAAUGAACAUGAUGAAAACUAGUUUAAAGAGUUAUUAGCAAAAGCGAUAAAAUAUGCAGGGGGAAGAUAUAGAGAGACCUGCAUAACAUUUCAGUUAUGGGGUGUCCGGAAAUAAGUGAAGAGUCUUCACCACUAAUAGCUAUUCUUUGGAUAUAAGGAUAAAUAUUCUUGUAGGUACUAACAGGAACGCAUCGCUUGAAAUCAGAUACAUCUUUUGAACCUCUCAAAUACUUGCGCAAGUACUCAGUUUCUCCAUUUCGUAUUAAGAUCUCUCUCAAAAGAUUAUUUUGCACUUCAUCGGCUUUUGCUGUUAGCUUUUCAAUCUCCUUCAAUGCCUCCUCACCUUUAUACUCCAGUUUCUUUCCGUAAUGCAUUCUUUUGGAGGAACUUAACAAAUGAGAAGAAAAGAAGUUUGAAGGAUAUUCUCACCCUGUUCGUUGAGUAUAGGUUUUUAUGACCCGCAAGUUCUUUAUAUAAAAAAAUUGCAAGUUAGAUUAUGUGUAGUUCUUGAAAACAUGCUUCUAGUUUUAUCCCCACAUUAUUGCUAACCGAUCGAUUGGCAAUUUGGCCUAGAUUCCAUCUACAAUUAAUGUGGCCACUCACAGGCUUUAUUUGAAGAAAGUGACCGGCAUUUACAUGGAUAUUGUGCCAUGAAUUAGAUACCACAUACUACUAGGACUUCGCCUAGCGACUUUCAAAGUAUUUGGCAUUGGAGUUCGAAUUAUGAAGGAGAUAAGGGACUAAAAAAUUAAUUUAGAUAUUAUUUAUUCUCUUACUUAAAAAAGAAAAAGAAAUUAUUAUUUCAAAGAAGUGCUCUUGGAUCAUUUUUUUUUUCAUUCACUCAUUAUUAGAUAUAUACUUCAACCAAUUAUAAUAAUAUGUAUACACAUAUGGCAACUAAUAAACAAAUAAACAGUAGUGUUCUUGGAGCACCCAAGAGCCCAGUUUACAAAAUUAGCUUAAUUAUAUAGGUGAAAUGAAUAUUAAUGCAUCCUACUAAUGAAUCACAUCCCAACCCCACCAAAACAAAUUUUAUGAGGUAAAUUUGUUGUCAAUUCAAAAUUUAAGGGUAUUCAUUAAAAUAUUUCAACUUUUAUUUGCUCUUGUAUCAAGUUAAAGAAGGAUUAGAGCUGGCUUUUUGAUUAUUAGAUUGGUAUUUUGGUAGUAUUUGGUUCUAAAACAACGAUUAUAUACAUGUAUAAUAUAUACUUUUAGAGUGCUAUUUAGUCACUAUUUCUUGACUAGAAGAAAGGAGUGUAGUGCAAAAUAGCAAGAAAAUAAAACCUGUGCUAUUUACUCAUUAAAAUAUUUCAACUUUUAAUUGCUCUUAUAUGAAGUUAAAGCAGGAUUAGAGUUGGCUCUCUGUUAUUAGAUUGGUAUUUUGGUAGUAUUUGGUUCUAUAACAACGAUUAUAGACAUGUAUAAUAUAUACUUUUAGAGUGCUAUUUAGUCACUAUUUCUUGUCUAAAAAAAAGAAGUGUAGUGCAAAACAGCAAGAAAAUCAAAUUUUGAUUAUCUACAAGCUCGCUCGCUCGCUCUCUCUAUUAAGGUAAGUAUAUAACGUGCAAAACACUAAAAAGAAGUCCCUACUUCAUUUCUUCAAUUGAGUAGCUACGUACGCUAAAUUAAAGCUCAAAAUUGAAGGACUUUCAGGUAUAUAGAUCAAUUAGAAAUAUUUUAGAAUACGGAAUCAAGUUGCAGCAUGAUUAGUCAUUCAAUUUGAUCACAGUUAAUUCCCUUUAAUUAAUAAAAGUUGUUCUUUAGUACCAAAUGAGACAAUCCCAACCAUUAAAUGGUGAAUGCGAUAAAUAUGCUUAUUCAAUAUAUUGAUUGUCAUGGUCGACAUCUUUACGCAUGUAUUGAUCGAUCAACAACGUCGAUUCUGCGGCGUCCAAUUUCGACCUUUCCUUUUACUUUUUUGAAGCUGGUGGUGAGUGACGCAUUGGAAUGCUGCUGCCGACGCUCUCUUCCUCUUCAUCACAUGGCAAUUUUAGUGAAACAAUAGCGCUAGUGCGAUAUAACCAUUUAGCCAUAGCUGGGAAUAAUUUGAUAGUGCGUAAUAAAGCUAAACUUCUGGGGAAUUCAAUAAUUUUUACAUGACUAGAUGCGGCACAUAACUAGCAAGCUAGCGCGCCAUCAAUCAGUCAAAUCAUGGUGUCCUCCAACAUUCACUUGGAGGUAUUCUCUGUACGGUAUAUAUGCACUGAUAUCAUCAGCUUUCCAAUCUUUAAAGCUCUGUCGAUCUAUCAUCUUUUCUCCAGUAUCUUAUCCAAAGUUCCUUUUGUUUUUUUUGAAAAAAAAAAAGAUUGUUAUAUACUUACGAUUAAAAAUAUGGUUAAGAAUUAUUUUGAGAAUUAGUUCAGAAAAAUCUACUCUAAUGAAAAUUUAAAGGAAAAAUCGAUCACAAAACUCUACUCUCAUGAACAAAAGAGAAGAUAUCUACUCUUAUUUUAUGGUGAGGAAUUUCCCUAUUUGAUGUGCUUAGUGAAAGAAGUAUAUUUGUUCUUUAAUAUAUGUAAUACGUUAGAUUUCAUAAUGAAUUAGUUUUCACUUUUCAAUACCUAUUUAUUUUGUAUUUGCUAAGAUAGACAUCAGAGUCUUAAGAAAGAUGUAGUCUAUAUAUAUUUUUUAAUAUCUUAUACAAAGUAGAUUCAUGAAAUUUUGAUGAAGUUACAUAUUUGAGCGGAUAUUUUGUCUAAUUAUUUAUAUAAAAUAUGACAUACUAUUGUACUACAAUUUAUAUAAAGACAACUUGUUCCGAAGUUAAUGGUUAAUACAAGUUAUUCAAUGCUGAAGCCGCUUUUGUGUGUGAAGUGCUAACCCAAUUUUACUAGAAUGCAGCAAGCAAAGUUUUUCUCCUUGAACUGUACUUUAUUUUAGUAUACUUAGAAAGUAUUGGUCGUAUAUGAGUAAAUUUUUAUUUGAGGAGCUCUUAAUAAGUUGUUUUUGAGUGUGCGCUUUCACGGAUAAUACAUUUUACAAAUCUUUAUUGAAAUAUUUUAUACACCAUCACCUAUAACUUAGAUCAAACCUAAAUAUAGUCACAUCAUAGCUUUUAAGUAUUUUACAGGCUGUCAUGUUCUUGAAUUAGGCAACCAUUUGUGAGUUGCUCUAAAUAGCUGCCUUGACAAGUAUUUGCGAAGACAGUUUAAUUGCAUUCCUCUGGAGGCAAUUUGGCUUGAUUAUGUGGUUAACAUAAGCAAUUCUUGUUUCUUUCUGAAAUAUAUGAUUCGUGUGGUCUAUUUACGAUGAAUUUGAUAUGUUAUAACUGAUUAUGAAGGUGGGACUAGGAGGGUUUCUUUGAAAACCGAUCAAUCCAUUGUACGUCAGCUCUAAGGAAUAAGGUAUAAAAGUUGCAAUUUAGCUGACCAUUUCUCUCCCCUUGUUAAGCUUAUGUUUAUGAAUGUAAUUAUAGGAGCAUUUCCGUUUCUUAAAUGCUUCAGAACAGUCUACCCAGUUAAAUGCUUCAUAACCUCUGAUUUUAAAUGCUUAUUUUAUUUUAUUUUUUUUCUCUUUUUAUUUUAGUAAGCAUAAUUUUAUUAUAUAAAACUAACUUGAGUUUGCCUAUUUUUAUUAUUAAUAAUAAAAUAUUACUUUGAGAAGGGUAUGAGUCUUCCAUUGCUUUUAUUUUGCAUCCAUUAAAAGAUACAUUUACUCAUGAAAAAUGAAAAUAUUCAACAUAUAUUGUGAAGUAGUUGUACCCUUUGUUUUUAGGGAUAUUAUCAUUUGUAUACCCUAUAGAUACUAUAUUAUCAAAAAUACUACAAUACUUUGAGGGUGUAUCAAUCGUCCACCCUAAAUUGACAAAAGUUAUCUGCCGACCACCAAACAGUUAGCUACCGUUUGAAAGUUAACGGAAUAAUAGUGAAUUGACAAUUUUACCCUUGAAAAUUAUCACUUGUAUACCCUUAAAUUCUUUUAUUAUCACUUGUAUACCCUUAAAUUAUCACUUGUAUCAUAUGAAAAGACCAAAUUACCCCUCUGGCGUUAUCCUAUUUAAAUGGCAAGUAACAGUUUGGUGGACGGUAGAUACAUUUUGUCAACUUAGGGUGGAUGAUUGAUACACCAUCAAAGUAUUGUAGUAUUUUUGAUAACAGAACAUCUAUAAGGUAUAUGAAUGAUAAUUUCCCUUGUUUUUAUUCAAUUGUACAUGUAGUUUAAAAUGAAAAUUUUGAAGAAAAAAAUGAAAUGGGUCAUAUUAUUUGGUCAAGAGUAGAAAAUUUAUACCUUUUGCAAUUAUUUGGUGGAAAACUCAUAUGGUUUACAACUACUAGGUGAAAAAUUGAUACCAUUUACAAUUAAUACAUGAAAAAUGGAUUUUUUUUUUUUUUUUGGUAAUGGAUAUGAAGUCAUUAUACUAAAUGAUAAUACUACCCUCCUGAUAUCGUCAAAUGUUCAUCUCUAAUAACAAAAAAGUAAACAAACGAUACAAUAUAUAUAAUAUUUGUAAAAUUAAAAUUAAAAUAUUUGUAAUAUUUUUUUUUAUAAUCGAGUAAUCUUCGGGUAGACUGCUCAUGAUUUCUUUUUUAUUAUUAUUGGGUUCCUCUAUGAUGCUGUAAUUUUUUUACAGCAUCAAUAAUAUUUUUAAUUGUGUACCAUUGGAUUUAAUCAAUGGUACACAAUAUUUGUACUAAAAAAAUUAAAAAAUAAUGGUAAACGGUUAACAAACGUGUAAGGGGUGGAGAAUUUUGUAAAAUAACUAUGACCAUCCUUAGAGUUUGAAACAAUUUCACUUAAAUAGCAUAUUUUAUUUAAAAUUAUUUUUCAAUCCUCCUUUAAAUUUGAAAUGUGAUAAUCUUUUUUUAAAUAAAUCUUCCAAAAUCUAUUACCAUUAAGUAUAAAAUAUAAUGGUAGGUUAUUUAACACAAAUCAAAUAAAUAAGUUGCAAUUGAAAAUUUUAUAUAUGAUAUAAUAGUAAUAAAAAACAUAACUAAGUACAUAUACUUAAGUAAAUAUCAUAGUUACAUCAAUAAACUCAUUGUUGAGAUUGCUUGUAACAUAAAAAUUACUUGAUCACACAUGUUUUAAUAAAAUUUAAUAACGUAUAUUAAAAUACUCAUUAUUUUAUAUAAUAUUAAGGGUCAUUGUAUAAUUGAACAUGAAAUAUGUCUUAUUUUUAACACCCAUUUAACAUACUUAUUCUCUUAACUUUAUAUUUAUCUUACAAUUAAUAUCUUUACAUGAUAGGAAUUUUAUGUUUUAUAAGCCUAUAUAUUUUCAUUUUAAUUUCAAAUAUCACUUUGUUAAUUUCACAAAAGUUAAAUCUAAUAUAUAUUCCUAAUGAGCUUUAGUUUAAGAACCGUGAAAGAUUAUUUUAUUGAUAUCCUUGGAUUGUAAUUAUAAAAUUUUAUGUUAUUAAGAAUCAUUACUUUUGUUAUGAUAAUUAAUAGUGGCAAUAAAUAAAACAUUGCCUUCAAUAAUAUUUACGUUGGAAAAAAAAAUGAAGAAUAUCAUGUAUAUUUUUAGAUUUUUAUUGACAUAGUAGGAAAUUAUCUCAGCCUUAUAAAAUUUAACUUUCACAAGUUUGUUUUCAUUUUAUUUUCAAAUGUCACUUUGUUAAUUUCAUAAAAGUUAAAUCUAACACAUAUUCCUAAUUAACUUUAGUUUAUGAAUCAUGAAAGAUAAUUUUAUUGUUAUUCUUUGAUAGUAAUUAUAAAAUUUUUAUGCUACGAAGAGUCAUUACUUUUAUUAUGAUAAUAAAUAGUGACAAUAAAUAAAAUAUUACAUCAAAUAAUAUUUAAUGGACAAAAUGAGGAAAAAAAUCAUUGUAUAUUUUUAUAUGUCCAUUAUAAAGAUAUGGUUUGGAAUACUUUAACUUAAAAUUUUGGCACAAUAUUUGACCCACUAAUAUCUCAUAAUCUAAUGGUUGAUAUUGAAAGUCAAAGCAACAUUUCAUAAUGUUAUAUCCUCCACCAUUGAAUUGCAUGAAAUAAAUAGUUUAAUUUUUUGAUAAAAAAUUAAAUCAUAAUAUUUCCCACUCUAUAAUUAUAUAGACAUAUAUAUUUUUCAAUAAUAAUUGGUGAAUAAAAUAUUUCUCAUUUGUUGUGACUCAUAUAGUAUUAUUAAUAAAACACAUAUAAAAUAGUUAAUUUAUUGCAAUGCUUUCUAUUAUCAUUAUUGUUUAGGUAUUAAUGGUUUGUAAUUAAAUUCAUAUAAUACAAAUUAUUACAAGAUUUUGUGUUAAAUAACCUACUUGAUAUUAUAUUUUAUACUUAAUGGUAACUGAUUUUGAAAGAUUUGUUUAAAAGAGAUGAUCAUAUUACAAAUUUAAAGGAGGGCUGAAAAGUAAUUUUAAAUAAAUAUACUAUUUAAGUGAAAUUGUUUCAAACUCUAAGGGUGGUCACAAUUAUUUUACAAAAAUUAUCCACUCACUUGAACGGUUACCAUUAUUUUUAAUUUUUUUUUAGUACAAAUAUUGUAUACCAUUGAUUAAAUCUAAUGGUUCAUAAUUAAUACAUUAUUGAUGCUGUAAAAAACUUUACAGCAUCGUAGAGGAACCCUUAUUAUAUUUAUUUUUAUUUAAAAAAAUUAUGGUCUGGAGGAUAGAUAGGAUGUAAUGAGGUGUAGUACUAUGCUAGUGUGUGGCUUGGCUCAUUGGAUAAGAUUUAGCCACGUAGGUCACUCAGUAACAGUCUCGGCUCUCGCAUUCUACCAUGGGCUGCGAAGAGCCCAUUACUUAAAUUCAUGGGUUUUGGAUUUGUACAGCUUACAAACUGUAUUAACCGUCUCCAGAAGCCACGGCGUCGUUUGGCAGAGAUGGAAAUGGGAUAAACUAACUGUGCGUAUUUUGCUGGAAAAGAUUUAGGUGGGAAUCUAUCUGAAUGGCUGUGGCUGCUCUGGUAAGCCAGCAACCGCUCUGCUUCUCAAAUUCAAUAGCAACAGGAAGAACAAGACACAAACCAUGGCUCCCCACAAAAACUAUCAUUUUAAAUCCUCAAAAGAAGGCUCAUCUCUGUUCCAUCUCCUGCUCUUCUUCUUCUUCUUCUUCUUCUUCUACUUCUCAGUCUCCAGAAACCAAUGCGGAGACAGCGGAGUCUUGUGUCAAUCUGGGCCUCUCACUAUUCUCCAAAGGACGGGUAUUUUUUUUCUUUUAUAUCUAUCUCUUACUAUUUUGAUCACUGGAGCCAUUUUCUUUUGUUUAGUUUCAUAAAUUUUGGAUUGUAAUCGUGCUUUUGUUUUUGUUUACUUUAAUUUUACUGAUUAUUUUUAUUUUUGUUGCUCAAUUUAAUUAUAUUUGCAGCGUGAAAGAAAUGGGCAUUUUUAUCUUUACACGAUGGAAGUAUUGUAAAUUGUAUUGUAGGAGCAAACAGUUUUUUUUUCCCCACCUAAUUGGAAAGAUAAAAUUGUAGGCUAUUUUUUCAUGAUUGAGUCGAUGGUACUUUUCCCUUACCAUCACCACUGUGCUUUCAUUGUCGUGCAAGUACUCCCUGUGAGUGAAAUUAUAUCUUUUAUAGCCAGCUUUAAGAUGUGAAUGACCUAAGCUAAUCAAUAAUCAUUAAUGCAUAAUCAAAUUAUAAUGGUACAAUUACUAGCCAAAGUAAUAUUUGGUUCUUAAACCGAAUUUUCCCUCGCAGUUGUUACAUUUCUUUGAUCAUAUUGUUCAACACACGCGACAUUCUGCAGUGUCAGCAACAUCUUGUCUUGCAUCACUGUGUGUAAAACUUUUUAACUAUUUGUUUAUCAAUCACAUGUAAUGUUUGUUGUAUCAUUUAUAUAAAUUUAUUAUCAUGUGCUUAAAUUUUUCAGGUUAAAGAUGCCUUAGUUCAAUUUGACACAGCACUCAGUCUAGAUCCCAACCCUGUGGAGGCCCAAGCUGCCCUAUAUAACAAAGCUUGUUGUCAUGCGUACUGGUAGGAAGUCCAACCUCCAGGCUUUUCAGUUUCCUCUUUUUUUUUUUUUUUUUUUUUAACUUUGUGUCAUGAUAGAUUGCCAUUGAAUUUUUUGUUUCUUUUUAUCUCAAAACAACUCAAUUGCUGCAAAUUGACCGAUAAAAUCUCUUCAUGGUAAAAUGAGUUACACUGGUUGCUCUCUACAGACACGUGACUGUCAGCGUAAAGGUCUGUCAAAACUAGUGCUUCCUUUAAAUGGAGUGUGUUUUUCUUAGAACUCAAACAUAGAUAGUUUAUUUCAAGAAAGGCAUUCAAUGAAUCAAAAAUUACACAAGUGUCCGUACAAAUUUUAUCUCAUAUUCAAAAUAAAAGAAUUUUAUGAUCUGAUUUAAAGCCAAUAAAUCUUCCAAGUUUCAGUAGUAAAUUGCCAAUAGCUUAGUUAAAUUUUGCUUCCUUCACUUUGUUUGUUUUACAUGAAUGAAGCUUAUUCAGUAAUUUUAUCCCUACUGCUGUCUAGAUGAGGGAUUUUAAUUUCAGUGUUCAUUUUUCUGAAGUGGGGAAGGAAAGAAAGCUGCUGAUUGUCUGCGUACUGCUUUGAGAGACUACAAUCUUAAAUUCGGCACAAUUCUUAAUGAUCCCGACUUGGCCUCCUUUAGAGCUUUGCCUGAAUUCAAGGAAUUGCAGGAAGAGGUUUAUCUCUCUAUUUUGCUGUUUUAUAUCAAUUUUCCACUUCACAAGCUAAAUUAGCUAUAGAGUGCAACUUUCUCCAUAGAGUUAAAUGUUGCUCCUCAUUUGCAUCAUUCUUUUAAUCUCUCGUAACAUGAAAGUGACAGGAUCUGUGAAAGGUCAUUUCUUUCACUUUCUGCUAAUAAAUAUUUUAACUCAAAACUAUUUGUUAUGCCUACAGGCGAGGCUGGGUGGGGAAGACAUAGGCUACAGUUUCCGAAGAGAUCUGAAACUCAUCGGUGAAGUCCAGGCACCAUUUCGUGGCGUACGGAGAUUCUUUUCUGUGGCACUCUCAGCUGCUGCAGGAAUAUCCUUAUUCUUUACUGUACCCAGGCUACUUCGUGCAAUCGAAGGUGGUGACGAUGCCCCUGAUCUCAUAGAAACUGCUGAAAAUUUAGCCAUUAAUAUCGGAGGUAAACCAAGACAUUCAGCUUGACCUUUCAUAUAUUUUGCAAGUGGACUUUUCCCUUUAUGAUGAGUAAGACUUCAAUGAUACAUCAGAACUUUAUAACAGGCUAUUGUGGGUGACUAAGCUUUUGAAUCAGCAAUCUGCAGGUAUCAUUGUUUUUAUCACAUUAUUCUUAUGGGACAACAAGAAAGAGGAGGAACAACUUGCUCAAAUAUCCCGAGAUGAAACUCUUUCAAGGUUGCCACUGCGCCUCUCUACCAAUCGGAUUGUUGAGCUGGUGCAGUUGCGAGACACAGUUAGGCCGGUUAGUACAAACAUAUUUUUUCAGCUCAUAUUGUUGUUAUUAAAUGCUUCUGCUCUAUAAUUGGAAACCUUAAAUUUUGACACUGUAAAUUAGCAUGUUUGCAUUUUUGUCACGGAAGCGUCACCUAAUUACAGAGUUUCCAGCUAUUCAGAAUAUUGCUUCAUUAUCCAUUUCCAGUAAGGGAAUAAUCACUCAUGCAAUGUGAUGAUUACACAUACAUCCAUUCUUUUGUUUGUGGAUACAUGCUCAUCUAUGAACAAAUGGACAUGUGAUUUUCUGAGAAAAAUUUCUAAAUGCCCGUCAACAAAUUUAAUUAGAAUCAGACUUCUUUUACCAGCUGCUUAUAUUGUUCCUCUGGCAAUUUGGAAGCAUUUCAGUAAACUGCUGCAUAUCUCAGAAACAAAUAUAAUUUUUCAUAACAGUUACCUAUAAUAUUCUAUUUGUUUUCUUUUCCGUCUCUUGGUUAAGUUUCAUAAAACUGCAUCUUUUAUGUAACUUUGAGGUUUGGACUAGGUUAUCUUGGCAGGGCGAAAGGAGACUGUUUCCUUGGCUAUACAGAAGGCAGAGAGGUUCCGAACUGAUCUCCUUAGACGAGGUGUUCUUCUAGUUCCUGUGAUCUGGGGUGAAGGUAGGGCACCACAAGUAGAGAAAAAAGGCUUUGGUCUGGCUCCAAAAGCAGCAGCUGGUCUUCCUUCUAUUGGGGUAUGAAUACAAAGGUUGCUAUCAGCAAUUAUCUUGUGAGCAAUAUUAUAGUUGCCCUCCUUGACACUGUAUCCAAUGACAUUUUGGUAGGAAGAUUUUGAGAAACGAGCUCAGUCUAUAACUGCCAAAUCAAAGUUGAAAUCCGAAAUUCGAUUUAAAGCGGAGGUGGUGUCACCCAGUGAAUGGGAAAGGUUAGAUUCCACUUGUUCAGAAGUUUGUUUUCCAUUUUGUUGGUAAAGUUACACCUCUAUAAUAUAUUAAACAUAAAUUUUCACCUCUUUGUUUGGCCUUCAUUUGCCUUUAAUGGAAUGAAACGUCACAUUCAAUAUAUGACAAUUGUUGUGAACUAUUUAUCUCCCUCUUAGUUUUUUAAUGACUCAAAUGUGCUAUUAUUAUUCCUCAUUUGAGCUCUGAUAUCUUCUGAAUGAAAAAUCUGUACUUAUUCAGAUGGAUAAGAGAUCAGCAGAAGUCUGAAGGAGUUAACCCUGGAGAAGAUGUCUACAUAAUAUUGCGUUUAGAUGGUCGUGUUCGGAGAUCUGGAAAAGUAAGUGGAUAUGGUAAAGAUUUUGUGCUUACUUAUAAUUGAACAGAAAUAGCUUCGAUUAGCAGGUGCUUAAGGAAUUUUUGGUAGUUUAAAGGUUUGGUACAAUAAACCACCAAUUUUUGUUGUUGUGGUUUGCGGAAAAAAACAUAUAGAUUGAGAUUUUGGAUUCCUAUUUAACACUAGCAAAAUCCUGAUCAGUUGAGGGUUCCUUUUCCUGUGUCAUUCACCGGUCACCAAUUCUGUUCAUUUGAUUUUCAUAGAAGUUGUUGAUUGAAUCCACAUUCCAUGAUUCUUUGCUGUCACUUAUCAGUAAUUAGAAUCUGUGUUCUUGGGUGCUAUUUAAUUCAACUAGUAAACCCUGCACACAUGAGAAAAGACUGUCUCACCAUUCUGCUCUGUUUAUCUGAAGGGUUUAAGUUGAAAACAAAGAGUGCUUAGUUUGUUCUAUCUACACUGUUCAUCUAAAGUGACGUAUAUGUAAUGUGACAAACUCUGCAUCCACAUCCAACCCAAGAGACUUCUAAAAAGUGAUUUUGAUGAGGUCUUGUACAUUUUUCUAUAUCAAGUUGGUGUAACAACCUCUGUAUUUGUGUAGGGCAUGCCCGACUGGCAACAAAUUGUGCAGGAGCUGCCACCAAUGGAAGCAUUGCUAAGCAAGCUAGAAAGAUAAGAGCUCUUUGUUCACCAACUGGAGAGGAUUAUGAAUGAAAACUAGCACCAUUCUCUUUAAAUAUCUUUGGUGCCCCAUAUGAUCGUCUUCUUUGUAGAAACCGGCCUCCGUGAGAAGAUAGAUCGUCCUCUUACUCCUACACACUCUUGAAGAUUCUUCAUCCAUUAUUUGGAGAUGUAUCUUCGCUUUGUAAAUUUUGAAUAGAAAAUGAAAUGAAUGGGGUGGCAUUUAAAAUUUGAAAUUUGAAAUGCAGUGCUCGCUUUGCAGCUGUAUUUCGCGAAACCGUUUAAACAAUUCCGCAGAUUUUUUUUUCUUUUUCUUUUUUUCCCCUUCGGACUUGGUGCGACUGAUUUGAUUGUAAAGUCAUUGCUCUUGGUUAUUUAUUAUGGAGAAAAUGUAUUUUUCAGCUUUAGGUUUUGAAGCAAUAACUUAUUUUAUCUUUAUUAUUUAAAUAAUGAUUUAUUUUAUUUUUUUAGUUUAAAAUACUCUUUUGUUAAUUUAUUGUAAGUUUACUGUAUAAUUUUUUGAGAAUAAAAUAGAAUUUUUAAUUAAAGACAUACAUACUAUUUUUAAAAUAAAAUUAUCAAACACAAUUAAAUAAUAUUGGACUUUUUGCAAAAAUUUAAAAUUUAAAGAUAACUUAAUGAAUAAAUAAUAAUAAUAUUAAAUAAUAUGCAAAACACAUAUUUAGGACAAAAUAAAGAGAAAAAAACAUAGAUUUCAUAAGUAUUAGAGUGAAUUUUUCUUUUUUUUUGUCUUUUUUGUCUUUUAACUUAUUUAUGACUUUAAUACAACCAAGAUAAAUAAAUAAAUAAUCAAUCAAUAUUAUUUACCAAAAAUAAACACAGUUUCAUUAACUUAAAAAGCACACACUAAAAACACGAUACAAAUGUAAUAUAUUACAGAAUAAAAUAUAUUGUACCUUUUAUCUUUUAGUUUAUCCCAAAUUUUAAUAUGGUCAGUAAUCCCUUAUUAAAUUAUUGUUAUUGUUGUUGUUGUUGUUGUUAUUGUUACUACUACCACUACUACUGCUAUUAUUAUGAAAUUCAGUUGAUUUCAUUAAAGAAAUUCAAUGAACACACACACACACAUAUUGAUUAUUUUUUAGUGUUAUCUUUAUUUUAUUAGGUUAUUCUUGAGUUUUAAAUAUUUGUAGAAAAUCAACGGUUAUUUAAUUGUUCUUGAGAUUUUCAUUUUAAAAUAGUUUGUAAUUAUUUAAUUGAAAAUCUUAUUUUACCCUAAUAAAUUAUAUAGUAAACUAAUUAUAAAUUAACGUUAGAGCGUUUUGAAUUAUUAUUUAAAAAUUAAUAAGAAAAUUAAUAAUUAUUUAAAAAAUAAAGAUGAAUUGGAUUAUUUCAUGAAACUCUAAAAGUGAAAAGAGGUGAGGUUUUUACCGAUAUAAUGCUAUUAGGCCGUGGUGACCCAACUGCUGCACCGCAUUUUUUUUAAUCAUUUAUUUUGGUUCGUUGAAGGCUGCACUGUUUUGGGAAUUUAACUCAGUUUCUCUAGCUAUUUUAAUACAGAGUCAUACAGUCAGUAGAAUAAAGAAAGAAAAUGACUUAUUUUAUGUUUAUAUCGGUGUUGGGGUUAGUCCAUAGACUAAUAAUGUGAUUAAAGUCAUAACCCAAGGAUCCCUGAAGUUAUUUUUUAUAACUUUCUUUAUCACAGAGAUUUAUACAACCUAUGCUAUCAACGUGAGAUAUCAAAACUGGCUUAAUCUGACCAUCUUUUAUAGGAUACAUGAUAUACAAAUAAAAAUAUGAAUAGCUGGAUCCUACAUGAAAAGUAGUGAGAUAUUGAGAAUUGAAGGAGCCAAGAUGGUGAAUUAGAACGAAUUGGAUCUUGAGACACAUGCACUUGCUUCUAUAAUUACGAUAGGAAUACCCAACCAACCAACCAACCAACCAGCCAACCAUAUUCCUAAGCUAAAGCACACCUUUCUAUUCAGCAAUAAGCAUGCAUAUGCAUACCCUCAUUCCAUUACCAUACCAUGUCAGCCGAUUUUAAUAUUCAUGUAAUAUCAGGGCCUAUUAAAUGUUUUGAAUAUGAACGAAGAAUGAUCAUCAUCCAGGUCAUGCUUUCAUUUUUUUAAUCAUUUGUAUCACUUUCAUAGUAGGUUUCGAAGAGGUCAGACGAUGAUAUACAUUCAAUUCAAGAAUGCGUUCAACUUUCUAUUUAGCAAUCAGAAGAGCAUUUGAACUGGUAAAAGUCGUCAAACUAAUCAGAUUUAUCUAGAAUUAACAGGAGUACGAGCACCCACUUUAUCACUUAAAUUAUUGUUUUACUUACUUCAAUUCUUGGUUUAGGCUUUCCUUUACUAUGAUUAAUAUUUUCAUGUCUGUUGUUGAUUCUUUACUAUUGUAUUUAGCUUCAACUAGGACAGGUAUAAACUGUUGAUGGUUGUUGGGGCAGGACUUCGAAGAAGAAACACCCAUCCUCCUGAUACCUCUUUUAUUAGUUUGUCUACAUAAGUUUUAAUUACAAAAUUACCCUACAAUUCAUGCAUACCAACUACAAGGUAGUAAAGUCAACAGUCAGUUAACAUGGCAUAUUUUGUAGAUAUAAAGAAAGCCGAUGUCAUUGUGUUAACUCAAAGAUUAAUUUAAGCCAAAUUGCCAGCCAGCUUUAUCCUAUUCCUGCGUUGAGUUAUCGCAUUUAUUAUGUUAUAUACGUGCAAAGCAACAAUAGCUAUAUAGAGAGAAAGAAACAUAGGAGUGGCAGAAGCAACAGCAAUGGCCAAAACUCUUGCUUUUCUCCUGUGCGUUUACCUGUUCCUCGCUGCUCUGAUGAUGGACUCAUCAACUGUCGUUGACGCGGGUGUCGACCAGAGAUUGAGUUGGGUUCCGGCCAAGGCCCGUUGCCAAGGCUCCAUGGCUGAGUGCAUGGCCGACGAAGAAUUUGGGAUGGAUAGUGAGAUCAUCCGGCGCAUAUUGGCUACUACAAAGUACAUAAGCUAUGGAGCUCUGCAGAGGGACUCUGUGCCAUGUUCUCAAAGGGGUGCGUCCUACUACAACUGCCACGCAGGCGCACAAGCAAAUCCUUACAGUCAUGGCUGCAGCGCAAUUACUCGGUGCCGUAGCUAAGUUUGUCCUUAAUUUCCUUCAUUCCCUUCUCAUUUGUAAGACUGAAAAAAAUGCAAUAAUAAUAUGAUUAAGAGGAUUAGUCACGAUAGUGAAUUUGAAUCCCUUACUGAGAUGGGUGAAUCGGUUUUCCUUUUCAUCGUAAAAACUAAUAAUGUCGAUUGUCGCGGAUGCAUGCUAUGACUGCUGCAUUUGAUUUUUCUCUGUGCUUGUUCUACCUUUUACUUUAUUUCUUGCUACACAGACUUAAGGAGAAUGAUGCAAAAAUAUUUUGGGUCUUUGACCAUAAAAGAAACAAUUUGCUGCAGUUUUUGAUUCAUAAUGCUAAGAUAAAGGGACAAAACUGCAGUUUCCAGGUAAUCAAAAUUCAAAACCAAUUCGGGAGGCAGGUAGUAAACAAGGAAAUCAACCGCGGGGAUAGGGGAUGAAAAUUGCUCUUAAGAAAAAUAAGCAUCUCGUAUUCUUGUCCGAGAAGAGUUGGCAUCUGGUUGAAGGUUUGGCAUAAGUUGUCUUCCAUUUAUGAAACCAUCAAAUGAAACCUCACCAUAUACACAUUUUAAAAUCAAUCAAUCAAGGCAGCAGUUAGGGCAAGACAGCAACUUUAGAACAUGCAACCUAAUUCUAUUGGAUCGGCCAAGACUUUCUCAAGUUUGGCAAAAGCAUCAAAAUUCAAGUAGUAAGCUAAAUAAAAAGUUUAGCAUUCAAGAAUAGGUGUGUUUCUACCCUUUUCCAUCUGAAAAGUAUAGCAUUUCUGACUUCGGUGACAUUGCACUAAAAAACACUGACAAUACUAGGCAUUUCUAUGUGACUGAGAUGGUCGAAAAUAAAUGAAAACCAUCCUGUGUGUCUGCAAGAAAGUAAUUAAUGACAAAUACGAAGUAGCUGCCCUCAGUUGCAAGUACACAGAAAACCAGAAAAUAUCAAAUACAGAACCAACUAAGCCCACUCAUAUCAGUAUGAUCUCUCUCAACCAGAAACACAAACAAAAAGCUAGCAUAGAAACUAAAGGCAGCAUUCACUGCACAAGCACACCCUUUUACUACUCUAUGCUGAUCCUUCCUCUGGCUUCCCUUCACCCGAGUUUGUCUUGGACGGGGUCAACGGAGAUGGAGAACCCUCCACUCCCAUCUCUGCUCUAAGAUCAUUGAUGCUCUGCUCCAACUCAUUUAUUCGGUUUCCCAUCUCAUCGAGUGCAUUGAAGUUAAGGAAACAAGAAGCCUCAUACAUUUAACAUAAACACAACGAAAGAGAUGCAAAAACAUCUUUGUUGAACAGACACAACAGAGUGAAUUAAGAACGUGCUUUCAGAUUUUUAUCAGCCAAAAUCAGAAAUAGAGUCAGAUUCAUAUUUUUAUCAUAUUACAGCAGCAUAAAGAAUGUUCUGUGACCCUACAAAGAUCCUAAGUGUAAGAACUGUUUGUUAACACAAAAAAUACAGGAUCUUCUAGUGUAACAACUGGUUUAAUGUUCAGACUUUCAUCACUUUUGAGAAAGAUACACAGGCAGCACAAAUACAAAAGCUUUGCCAAGACUACUAUUUCACAAAAUCAAUAAUUUAGGAAAAACAAAGCAAUUUUCAAUGUAAUGUACAAUGAAAGAGUUUUGUUCCUGCAUUUAAUGAUCCCAGAGAAGUCAGUAUCAUAAAACUCAAGUGGGAAAAAAAAAGAAAAGGAUAUUCUUUGUCACAAUGGAGUCCGACAUUGUCUGAAACCUGGACUGCAUCUGUUGAAGAAGAUUUUGCACCUACAUAUCAGUGAAGCAAAAAAAAUCAAUAAGGCCCUACACAAAGAAAACCACAAAAACAAUCACACAACGCCUGCAAAUUCCUUGUAUUAGCUUCAAACACUUCAUAAGUGAACUAUUGCUACCUUGUUUCAGCCAAAACGAUUUUGCAAUCUAAACCUACAUCUAUGUCUAAAUAAAUCGGUUACAAGACUAAUACCAUAAUAUUCCAAAUUAUAGUUUCAAACAUAUCACUAAUAAACUGAAAAUAUUAGAGGACUCACGAAAACAGUCAUAUCAGCAGUACUUUGCUUGGGAUCUUCCGAAUCAUGUCCGUCCUGCCAAAAAAAGUAGUCAGUUAGAGCUUAUCAGACAAAACAUUCUAACAAGAUCUAGAUUGUAUCACAGCCUCCUCAAAUCUAACGGACCAAACUGGACAACAACUAGAAAACUGAAACAGUUUAACAAAAAUAACAGAAAACCAACACAAACUCACAAGCUUUUAAGGCUGAAACUUUGAGAAGCAAAAUUAUUUUGACUGUAAAAUAUGAAUUACACGCAACACCAUAUCCGAAGAUGUAAAUAAAAAAUAUCGAAGCCUAAUUUUGAGUUCUAUACACCCCUCUUCUAAAAAAACAAUCACUGAUUGCAGAGUGAAAACAGAUCUGAAUCAUUUCAUAAGUACAUUUUAAAUCAAACAAUUCUUGAAACCCUAAUUAUGCACUCCGAUUACUCUAACCAAAUAUGAAGAAAAUCAUAAUUGACUUCGGCGAUCAGUACAGGAGUUCAACCAAGAGAAGCAAGUAUUACCAUUGCUCGCUACGCAGGCGGAUCUCUCUCUACUGGUCACUGCCGUACAGUAGAUAGAUUGUCAAGAGUUAAAAUGCCGAUAAGCGAUCGCCUCUGCCUAAUCUAAGACAAAGAUGCCAGCGCCACAAAAGUUUACCCCUCCGCCUCAGGUUCUGAGCAGCUGAAGUUACCAAUAUACCAUUAAGCACAAAAAAUAAAUAAAUAAAUGCAGAAUAGCCUUCACGGCUUCACCAUUGAGGAUGGGGUUAUUUUUACAUAUCCCCCUAAAGUUUUACGUAAUAACAGUUUAAUAAAAAGUAUGACAAUCUUUUUACAUCCCUUCUCCGUCGUUAGUAUUUCCGUCGGUUGACUGUUUGUGGACCGAUAAAAUGACAAAAAUACCCUUUCAACUUUCAAGGCUGAAAAAGUAACCCUAAUUGGAAAAGGAUAAAAAAAAAAGUUGUUCAUGUUGGUCAUGUGAAGGGCAGAGAUUCUCCUUCUCCAAAUCUCUCGCUCAUUGCCCAUUGCACAUGAGAAUGGGAGUGCAGAAGCCAUGGAGUAAACAUGUCAGCUGUACCUUGCCAUUUAGACUUUUUUGUUUGGGGAAAAUACGAAUUACUGUUUGAAAGUGCAUUACUUUUACUUUUUAUCGAUUCUUGUGGGAACUAUAUUUCUUCCCUUUUCGUCCGGCGAUUCCAGUGAAAUAAAAUUAAAUCAAUUAAUAUAAAAAUUAAUUUUUCUGCAAAUUCAACAUACAUCGAAACCCAUAAUCUUUUACAACAAACAUCCACAACAUGGCAGCACCAAUUUUUCCAAUCUUUCGGGCAUGAUUACAAGUGAAUUUCGAGUACAAACACCCACAUCCUAUUUUCUUUGACUUUUGCCUAGCCCUUUAUAUAGAGAGAAAAAAAAGGGAAAGAGAGAAGCUCACGGGGAGAGAGAAAAAAAAGAACUAGAUCCAAUCCGACCCGCGACUGUGACCCGGUCGGAUCUCUCGUUUUGGGCCACCGUUUUGGUCGAGCUUGGUACCAAUCGGAAGCCCUUGAGCCGCUGGUCAUCUCCAUGUCGUCCUUGUCGCUGGAAAGCCACCGAUUAAAGCCGUGGAAACGCCGCCUCGAUUGGCCACGGCUUCGACGAUUUAACUAACCUCUUCACAACUCCAAUGCCAAUCGCGGAACCACGUCGCCGUCUAUACUCGCUUGUCGGCAAUCUUCUAUCACCAUCCAAGCUUGUCUCGUUCAUGGGUAAGUUCAAAAUGGUGAUGAAUCUUAAUCCUCAAGCUCGAUAAUACUUGCUUAUUUUCACACUUAUGCUACUUAGGGGUGAAUUUUGUGUGAGCAAAUAGAUUUACACUUUUGUGAAGGGAUUUUUUUUUUCGAAUAAUGAAUUGGAAAACCAUUAAUUAGAGAUAAUGAAUUUUGUGUGAGCAAAAACUUAAAAACCACUAAUUUGGGCAUAAAAUUUACACUUUUACAGUAGGUAUUUCACGCAUACCAAUGCUAGUACAGUUAACUUUUUAAAUUUUUUUAAUUUUAAAUGAGCUUUUACGAUUUUAACCUUGUAUAUUAAUACUAUACAUAAUUUUAUACUAACAGCAGGGGAAGGAUGUAAAAAUACUGUUAUAUUUUCUAUUAAACUGUUAUUACGUAAAACCUCAGGGGAAGUAUGUAAAAAUAGCCCAUUGAGGAUGCCUAUUACUAAUUGUUUAAUUAGACCGUUGCUAAAGUAGUUUUGUCGUGUGCUUGGCGUUACGGGAAGAUGGUAGUUUCGUCAUUUUAAAAUUUUUCCGAGACUUACAAAAUUAAUAAUACGGGCUACACGUUGCUCAUUCGAAUUUCAAAAUGCCGAGGUUGAAAGCAGGACUAGGGGAACACUGUUUAAUUCAGAAUUUCAAAUCGUUGCUGUGGAAAAUCAAUAUCUUGAUCUCUAACAAACUCAUGAUGUAGAAAUUAAAUUAUUAACCUGGUAAAUAAUGACAUUCAACAAAUGGACUCGACUAGCUUACAGAAUCUGUAAGGUACAGACUGCAGCAUCAGCCGUUGGAUGUGGUUGGAUGUGGAGUGAGAAACUGAACAAUAGAAAAUCGGAUGGUGGGAUGACGGGAGAUGUUUGUUACAGAAUCUGUACCAUAGACAGGUCCUCAACAAAUAAUAAAGCUGCCAGAAUACCUAGUUCAGUCAGUAAAAUUAAAGCAAAUGACCGCUAAAGCAUGUACAUCUACAAAUUGAGCUUUUGCCACCAUAAACCAAAAAAAAAAAAAAAUAUCCGGUUCAAUCACAAAGAUAACAUUACAAAAUGUUUAGGCGGUUCAGGCUAACCUCGAAGUCACAUACGAAUUGCUUAAGUGAUUACAUGUAACUUAAAAUAAUCUGUCAAUAAAAUAAAGUCAAAAUGUGCCAAAAUUGAAAAGAGCUAAGGAUUACACCAUUUGAUCUCACCAAAUCAGCAUUUUCUAUUUGGAAUAAUGACUUCGUCAGAAGAAAAUUCCAUGUUAAAGAAGAGUGAAAAAAUUAAUCACCAAAUCCUCAUAUUUCAUUUGUUCUUCUUAGUUGUUGGCUUGUCGUCUACAUAGGGAUACUCCGUUGGGGCGGACCACAAUCCAUACAGUAUGACUAAGUGGAGACACAGAAGGAGAAGAGAUGAAUAAAUGUUCGAAGGGUAGACAUUCCAGCAUAACUCCACCCCCAUAAACAAAAUUAAUCUGCACAUCAUGACUCAAACACAAGAACAGCACAGUUAACAAAAGUUAUAGAAAUACUGAUCCAACAUUAAUCGAUGAACAAACUACACAAGUUACCGAAGCAAUGUUGGAAAAGGUGUUCUCCACAGCAGAUAAGGCAAGCUAUAGAAAUACCUGCAUGAGGAGACGUCCAGUUCCAGUUAAGAUAAAGAUCUGUAACCUUCAAUGGCUAUUUGUUUACGUUACAUUAUGACAACAGCAUGUGCCAUGAAAGCUAAUGGCUGGAAGAAAAAGUAUUUUCAAAGAAUGAGAAAUGCUUCAUCACUAGACAUUAGAACAUAAACUUGAAAAGUACUACCAAAGCAUUCGGUAACUGUCCAUUCAAGGAAAAAAGUAAGAUAUGUUAAAAAACAGUUCGUACUACACUAAUAUUUAAGUCCAAAAUUUUUAUUAUACAACAUCACAAAAUUGAUUUACAUUUAGUCCAAACUUUAAAUAUUUUUGCUCUUCCAAUUGAGAAUACAGCUGGGUCCGCUGAAGUAGGAUCAAGUAUAAUAACAAACCAAAUAUAUAAAACGGAAUUUUGUCCUGCAUACAUACCACAAGUAGAACUGAUAAUGCAAAGAGCGAGCGCACACAAUGCCAAUAAAAUUCCCAGCAAACAUAGUUGUUACAAUAUCUGAAAAGUGAAAUGACAUUCCCAUAUUUAGUGUUCAAGAGAUGGUUUUAAAAAAAAAAUCAAUCAAAAGGAAAUAUCUCUGAACAUACGAACUAAUUUCACGUUGGAAUAUCAAAACUUACGUUCUUUCUUCAGGAUCCUGGAUGAUGAAUUGCUAGAACUCAAACCAGCAAGCUUAAUCUUCAUAGUGACAUAUCUGGAGUGUAAAAAGUUGAGAAGUCCACCUUCAUGCCUGCAAACACCCAAACAAAAAGUAACUGACAUAUAGUAAAUCAAGCGUCUUUUAUGUAGGUCCAUCAGUAAGCAGCCACAUGCAAUGUAGAUGAAGAAUAGAUCAAAAAAAAUUUCUUAAGCUUUGCAUUUCCUCAAUUUUGUAACUUAAGUAUGUUCCCUUGCAUGCACUUAAAAUUAUACUUGUUAAGGGAAAAAAAGAGCCACUUUUACUUACUUGCACCAUCUAUAAUGAGCAAAAGUUGCAAGUACCACAAGAUGAGUGGUCAGCAAAGAGAUUGCAAACCCCUUCGAUACGAAAACCGGUUCAGGAACGAACUUGAAGUUAACUGACCUAAAAUAAAAGAUUGAAAAUGGUAACAAGUAAAAAAGAUUGAGAAUGGUAACAAGUAAAAAUUGUAUGCAUGGUACGAUUAUGGUAAUGCAGCUCAAAAUCAUAAUGACAAGAAUCAGUGAAUCUCCAUGCUAUAAUAUUGUCAACCUUUAAUGGUUAAACAAAACCUACAGGAAAAUUGAUUAGGUGACCAAAAUCUACAAUACUUGGAUAACCGACAACUUAUGCAAGUCACUAAUUUAAAGUACAGUUGUAUCAUAGACAUUGAAUUCAGCAGACAAGUAUAGCCUCACGAAUUUACAAUCUCACAAAGAAGAGAAAGAGGAACGGAAAGAUGAGGGAGCAGCAUGGGGUGGUGGUGAUAGUGUUAUGAGGGUAUACAGUAAAUUGGAUAAUUUCUAAGAAAGAUAGUGGACUUGCAAUAACUGUGCCUCUUGGUAUGCCUAGGAAAUUCAGAUUCAUCUAAUUUACAACAGUAUAGAUCUUCAAAAUGCUACAAACCGGAACUAACAUUUAACAGAAAGCUAUCCCCCAGAAAAGCAUAACCAGAUUUAAGAAUUUUUAAAAUGCUAAUCUGAUUGGAACAGUCACAUCUAUGUUUGUGGGCUGCAACAUAUCUAGCUAAUUCUUCAUGAGGAGCGUAACCAUAGAAAACAUGAUACUUCAGAGUGCUUGACAACCACAAUUAUGACAAUGCUAUUGCCUGUAUCAGACAUCAAUAUCAUAAAUCCAAAUACAUUUGAGAAAAAUUUCUGUUAACAGACAAUCUACAACACUACAACAAAAUCCAAGCCAUGCUUUUCUAUCAAUCCAACCACGCAUCCCCCCCCCCCCCCCCCAAAACCCCAAAAAAAAAAUUUGCAGUGAAUGACAAUCAUCUGUAUAAAGGUCUAUAACAAUAAUCCCAACCACAAAACUAAGCAACAAGUACCAGAAGUGGAUGAAGACACGCCCAAGAUUGAAGGCUCUUGAUACGUAUGCGACUGGAUGUGAUAUGAGAAAAGGAAACCCAAAAAGAAUCUGCAGAACCAUUCACAAAAUACACGGAGAGGUUUGAUCACAUUGAACACAUAACGCCCCCUACCUCAGCAUCAAGUUGCAGCGCAGCUCAACUCACCUAAAAAAAUUGAAGAUCAGAUCAAAGAUUGCAGAUAGCCUACUUCCUAUGUAAAAACAUUAUUCUGUUGAAGUGGUUUUUUUUUUUUUUUUUGGGAAUAAAACUUUAAAAUUAGAAUUUGAAAAUAUCCAAUUGUGUAAUCAAGAAUGCCAAUAUGAUGAUUAGUCUCCUAGAACCACAAAGCAAUGGGGUAGGUACCUGCACUAAUGCAGCACUAGCUAAUGUUGAUAUGACACCAAAGAUGCCCAAAGCCUGCAGAAAGAGAGUUCCAAAACAUGGAAUAAUUAUUGAGCGAUUCUAAUAGGAGAUCCAAGUAAAAACUUCGAUGAAUGUAAUUAAUCCUUAUUCGAGGUUGGUAUACCUUUAACAAGAGAAGAAAUAAUGGUGGAGCAUAUAGGAGCACAUUCAUCUUGAUUGAAACUGCCACACUGACCCAAAAAAUAAAUAGAUAAAUAAAAGAAGGAAGAGGGGUUGGGUGCUGGAAGUUAAAUUUUGAAAUUUGUGAUAUAAGUAUGAACACUACCUGAAAAUAAUCAAGCCCAAGUGCCACCUCUGAUCAAGAAGUAAGGCCAACGCAGCAUGAAGGAAUGUCAUGGCGAAACAGUCAUUAAAGAGACGAAGCACAAAUAUUGAGUGUACUCUUUUUGAGAGACAAAGCAAACUAAGACCCCACCAUGGAAGCUGAAAUACAUGUUAAGAACAACAAAAGUGAUAUCAGACUUCAGUUAAAUAAAAAAUUUGAAAAAAAAUGUAGAAAAUGCACUAUAUAUAUAUAAAACAAAUUAGAAGAUACUUUUUUUUAAGCGGACAAUAACUUUAGAGACAUACAAUUUGAAAGGUUAAAGUUGAAUGUGUCAGUGGAAAUCAGGGUGAAGGAGCCUCCAACUGCCUAAAGGGGUACAAAGGGUGAACUCUAGAUUGCCAAAGAACUGUAACAGAGAAACCUCUUGUUGGCUCAGCCACAAUAGAAAAAUUAGUAUGCAACAAGCUAAUCAUAGUACCUAGAAAAUAGACAACCAUCCGAACUAUGCCUAAUAAAGCUCAUUCCACUAUCCACAGUGUCCUAUAGAAUCCUUUAAGUUAGAAACAUUUUACCAGCAUCUACGAAGGCAAAAUACCUUCAAUUUAUAAUGCAGCCUCCAAAUGCUCCCAGAACUUAGAUCCCUAAAUCUCUCAUGCUGCUCACAAAAUAUGUACUCUAGUUUCCCUGUGAAAAAUUUACCCUUGAGCUUUUUCAUGCAGAAUUUGGUUAUGAGCUGGCAUACGAGAAAUUCAAUAUGCAUGCUGCUGAAGCCAUAACAAGGACAUGCAGGAGUCUAGAAAACAAAAAGGCUAGAACUUCAGCUUUAAAACAUUAGUUAUCAUACCACAUCUGUCUUCACAUAUACGAAUAAGACGAUUCCCAGAUUAAUAAGGUAUAAAAAGGCAAACAAUAUCUGCACCACAGCAAAAGAAAAAACAAACAUAAGAAAAUUAGUAUGAGCAUGCAAGGGAAAAGAGAAAACUGAUAAGUAUGUGUCAAUCCUACCAAAUUGUUUAUCAAGAUGUAUCAACACAAAGACUUACCAAUCGUUCACAAUCGAUUUCAAUAUUGCAAGCCAAUUUUUGAACUCAAAAUAUGCAGUCGAGAUAUGGUUUACAACUUUUAACUUUAAAUGUCCACCGAAAGCAAUGUCUCUGAACAUGAAAUAUUAGAAAACAAAAUGCAAGGAGAAACCAGAUCACUCACCUGAGCUGAAUAGACCUCCCCUCCUGUAAUAUAUUGAAUAGCAGAAUAAACGUAAAGAAACCCAGCUGGAUAUACAAGAGGCCCAGUGUCCCCUUUCAAGUUGCUGUAAUCUCUUUCCCCUUCAAGAAAUCCACUCACCUGAUCAAUAAUCAGACUAUUUCAUAUCAACACUCAUCCAAACUGAGAAUCAAUGUGAAAUUGUUUUUAUCGUCUACCUAAUAUUGUUAAUUGGUUUAACUAAAAUUCUGAUAAUUAACAAAAGGAAUGACGUAGUAAAAACCUGUGACAUGUAAGCGUCCCAGUCAAUCUUGGUAUCUGAAAAUAGUAUAAUAGAGCCAUUACAAUAAAACAUUUACUCAGGAAACCAUCAGUAUCAGUAAAUAAGAGAGAUGUAGAGAUCUUACAAGGGACGUAGGUGAUAAUAAGAGCGACGAGCAGGGCAUCCAUGAUAAUUAGACCAAAAGCAAAGGCAACUUUUGAACUUCUAAAAAUUCCGAGAAAGGAAGCAUCGUGUUUGACAUGAGUCGCUGACCGUCGCGCCAUGGUCCUGGCUUCUCUAUUUUGUUUUGCCUCGAAAUAUGCUGAAGCUCAAACCAUCUCCCCACACAUCAAUGAAUUUUUAAGAGAGCAUCAAAACGGUGUGUUUAGAUUGUCGGGUCGUGGGUAAGAGUACAACACAGGCCCAACAUAAUGCGUCAAAUAAUGAGCUUACUCAGGCCCAAAUGUGGAUAGCCCUAUAGGGUCAGCCGAUAAGCUCCGACCCAAAAGGCUGACAGCCUGAGAUAGGGUUAACACUUUACAGGAGUGAGCGGCGAAUGUGAAUUAAUUAUAAAUGCCACAUGAAAAUUGUACGAGUCAUUCGAGUAAUUUAUGUGUGUAGAAAUAUAAAUAAGAGAGAUUGUUAUGUUAUAUAAUCAUGUAAGAUACAUAAUUUUUCAACUGUCGUUUGAUGAAAAUUUAAUAAUUGUAAAAAUAUAAAAUAAUAAAAUCAUGUUAUUUUUAUAAUUGUUAAAUUUUUAUCCAACGGCAACGGAAAAACCACAUAUCUUCUAUGAUUAUAUAACAUAACAAAAGUCAUAAAUAAGAUAUAUAUGUAUAUUGAAAAACCUUUAUUAGGAGGGGGUGAAGUGGAGACUUCAAUUUUUCUUUUAUUUCAUAUUACUUUCCAUAGCGAUGCCGCUUUCCCGGGGUUGCUGUUGUUGUCGACGUUGUUCCGCAUGCAAUAUUUCAGAGUGUCUGCUGGACCCACCUGAAGCCCGUCGGCAGAGGCGUAUCCACUAAUUCUUUUAGAAAUCUUUUUAAAUUUCAUAAUUAAAAUAAAAUUAAAUAAAAGAAUUACGUAAAUUUUUGAAAUUAAUAAUAAAUUUGUCUAGAAAAUUUAUCUCAAUAAAAUUAAGGUGAAAUGUAUUGAUAAAAUGCAUAAUUAUUUUUCGAUUAAAUUUGUCCCGAGUUGAAUAUGUCGGUGAGAGAUAACAAUUAGCAGACAAAAGCAUCAGCACAAAAUUCUCAACUGAUAGUGAUUAAUUUAAUCAAGAAUGCUCUUCAGAUCUUAUCUGAAGCCACUGUUAUGCCCACGCGUUAGUGAACCCAGCUUCCACAAUCCCUCUUCGACGUCGGCUAUGAAUAAAAAGUAAACCGAUAUAUAUAAAGCCAAAAGAUCAAAUCACCCUCCGGCACUGCAGCGCUAGCCACGUGUUACCGCCUUGUCCACUUCUUACCGCCACCUAUGCCCACGUGUCUCUCCUGGUUUUAUCGUCCCAUUAUUAAUGAGAGCACAGCACGCGCGCUCUCCUCCAAAUAAAAUGGCCACCGCGAAAUUCCCCUUCUUACAGCACGAAAUUUCACUUGCUUAAUUAAUUCCUCUUUCUGUUUAGCAAAGGCGCGAUCGCAUUUCAUGGCCACCGAAAACCUUAAGAAGCGUACUAGGGAUGAUCGUAAUGACUCAGACGACACUGCCAACGUGGACAAGGACAACGAGGUCAUCAAAGGUGGCAAACGAAAUAAUCAUCAGAGGAAAAUGGACAUGGCCAAACGCGGCCUCAAAUCACUAUCCAUGGCGGUGGCUCUCCCUCUUUCUCUCACUCUCUUAAACAUUUACUUCAACGGGUCAAGUGACCGCUACGUCAAGCAAGAAAAGCCCUUCUGGUUCCCUUCUUUGUUGGUGCUGCAUACGGCCAGCUUGGCUUCAACUUUCUUGAUGGGUCUCUCGUCUUGGCUUGUUUGGGCCGAAGGCGGCUUCCACAAGAAACCCACGGUUUUGUAUCUUUGUUUGGCUCAGCUCGGCCUGAGCUUGGCUUGGGAUCCCAUUGUGUUCCGCUUAGGAGCCUACUGGGCUGGGUUGGUUGUUUCUACGGCUUUGUCUGGGUCUUUGGUUUGGUACUGUCGAAUGGUCGAGGAGGUGAAUCCAAUCGCAGGUGAUCUGAUGAAACCUUGUGUGGCCUGGGCUGCGCUCUUGUCCCUCGUUAAUCUGAAGCUCGUCUUUAGCUGAAUUUUGGCGGUCAAUGAAUGUUGUUAUGUACUUCUGUUAUAAACAACGACCAAAUCAAACUUCACGGUUAAUAAGUAGCGAAUAUUUCACCGUUAUAUAUAGAUAAUGCACUACUGAAUCUUGUAUCAAUUUUCAAUUUUCUUGUUGGAUUUGAUUUUUACCCUGAAGAGUUACUUACUCUUAUAUAUAGUGGUUAUUUUUUAUAAGAGAAGUGUUCCUUUUCCUACACAAAAAUGUAUUUUUUUUUAAUAAGUCUUAGAGGAGAAAGUAUUUGUUUCUUAAAUAAAAAUCUCUCUAAAUAAGAAAAUAAUCUAAAAAUUUUUUAUUAAAAAAUGGAGUCAUAUUUCCCAACAAUAUUCGACAACUGCUAAUUUAAAAGAAAAAAGAGUAAUUAAAUUUUUUUCUUGAAUUGAUUAUUAGUUUUUCUAUUUAAGUAAUAACAAAAAAGAUAAUAUAUACUAUUACAGCACAAAUAAUUUUUAUGUAAUCAUGUAAAAUUAUGAUCAUAAUUUGAAUCGGUUAUAAAUAAGUAUGGAUUUUUUUUAAUAAGUCAUAGUUUUUCAGACUAUAAUUAGGAAAUCGUCUUUGCAUAAUAGUAAUUAUCUAAUUUUAGAAAAUUAUUACAUGUUAGUUUUUUAAAAUCAUAUUAAUCUUUUUAUCAAUAUUUACAUAUUAAAUGUGACAUGCUCAAUUAAUUAAUUACAUAUCUUUUGCAAUACGUAUAAUUAAGUCAAUACAAUAAUUUUUAUCAUUAUAAAUCUAUUAAGUUAUAACCUUAUUAUAGUAAUAAAAUUAUUUUGAUCCUAACAUUAUAACUAUAGAGAAAUUUUAAAUUUGGCCCUAAAAUUAUGGCAAUAGAAAGGUUUUAUUAUAAUUGUUAAAAGAUGUGUGACGAGAAAAGAAAAAAAAUAUUAAUGAUGAAGUAAUUGAGUAAUUAGAUAGUAGGUUAAUUGUAUCAAGAGUAAGACUAUUUGAAUUCAUUAAUUUACUCUUUACACUCAUCAUUAAAUAAAUUUUUUUAUCACUAAUUUAUCUUAACUAAAUUACAUAUAAGAACAAUAAGAUUUAAACAAAUUAAAUAAAAAAAGAAGAACUAUAAUUUCAUUACACCUAUUUUUUGAUAAAUCAUGCUUGACUCUUUCUCUUCUGCAUAUAGAUUCAGUUGUUAGUGUCCAUUUGAUAUGGUUUAUCUAGUGGUCAUAAAUGUUUAUUUAAUCUCAUAAGUUAUUUUUAAAUUUUUGUUAUCAUUUGGUCAUUUUUUUUAUCAGAGCUUUUAAAGUUAAAUAAGUUAUUUUAUCUCUAUUAAUAAAAGCUCAAAUUUUAAGUUUUUGAUAAUAGAGGUUGAAUUUUUUUUUUUUAAAUAUUUAAAUAUCUAAAAUAUCUUUUUUUUUGACAAUCUUGUUCCUAUAUUUUUACAUUUGAUCAGAAUUUAAAUGCCCACAAAAAAAAAAUUAGAAAUAAAAAAAAGGUUAAAUAUUUUAUAGAAGAAGUCCCAAAACAAAGAACUAUAAUUAUCUCUUCAGUAUUUGCUUUGAGAAAGAACUUGAUAUUGCUUUCUUUGCUUCUCUUCUUCUUUACAUAAUCUUCAAAUUCUGGUAAUCAAGAAACAAAACAAAGAACAAUUACGCCAGCAUUUCUUGUAUAUCAUGUCAUUACCCUACACUAUGAAGAAUGAAGAUGUUAUUUUAUGUUAAAAUUCUUUUGGUAAAGCCAACAGUAUUAUAUAUGAAGCAAAACCACAAGGGCUAGGAAACAGGGAGAAAAAAAUUAUUCUUGCUUUUAAGAAGACGGCCCCUGUUUAGCUUUAAUCUCUUGUCAAUUAAUUAAAAAAUAAAUUGGAUUAUGUGUGAAGUUAGAAAAGGAAUACCUGUUUUGGAGAGAUUAGAGAGAUUGAUGUUGUACGAGUAAAUGCAGAGAAGUUAAUAAUGGGUGAAAAAUAAAAAUAUAAACAAAAUAUUUUAGUUGAGGUUGUUUUUGAAAUUUUAUAAAUUGCAUAGAGUUAAAAUUUAAUAUCUAAAUUUUAAUGAUGUUUCAUUGACAAAAUAAAUUUAAUAACUUAAAAUUAUGGUUCAAAUAAUCUUACUUUUUUAUCAAUUAUAAAAUUUAUUAUCUAAUAAAUAAAUAUAGUAUGAUAAUUAAACGGUGACAAUUAUCAUUAUUGUUAGCAAUUUAGCACGGACGAUUAACAAACACACAAUUAUUGGUGUAAGCUGAUUUUCACUGCAUUUGGUAACGCAUGAUCAUUUUCCUUUUAAUUUGCUUAGAAAAAGAAAAUUUGCAUUUACCUUAUAAAACCCAGGGGUGUCUGCCCAGGCCCGGCCGGCGUGACGUGUCUGAAAAAAAAACCAAAAAUCAACUAGUCUAGCAACUAUGGCGGUGUUUGGGUAAUGGGCACGCGCGCUUUCCUCUGAUUCCGAACUCGAAUCAAUCAAAC